UACGGAGGGGGCUAGCGUUGUUCGGAAUUACUGGGCGUAAAGCGCGCGCAGGCGGUCUUCCAAGUCAGUGGUGAAAGCCUGGAGCUCAACUCCAGAACUGCCAUUGAAACUGUUAGACUUGAGUACGAGAGAGGUGAGUGGAAUUCCCAGUGUAGAGGUGAAAUUCGUAGAUAUUGGGAAGAACACCGGUGGCGAAGGCGGCUCACUGGCUCGUAACUGACGCUCAGGCGCGACAGCGUGGGGAUCAAACAGG
rnacentral:rRNA from 1 species